rnacentral:rRNA from 1 species
AUUGAACGCUGGCGGCAGGCCUAACACAUGCAAGUCGAGCGGACCGCCGGACGGGGGAGUAAUGCCUACGACUCUGCCUGGAGCUGGGGGAUGACGUCCUGAAACGGACGCUGAUACUGCAUCCUUUCAGAUCAGCCUAGGCCGGAUUAGCUGGUUGAUGGGGUAAAGGCCUACCAAGGCGACGAUCCCGAACGGGUCUGAGAGGAUGAUCAGUCACAAUGGAAAUGAGACACGGCCCAGAAUCCGACGGGAGGCAGCAGUGGGGAAUAUUGGACAAUGGGCGAAAGCCUGAUCCAGCCAUGCCGAGUGUGUGAAGAAGGUCUUCGGCCUGUAAAGCACUUUAAGUUGGGAGGCGUUACCAAAAGAAUAAGCACCGGAUAACUUAGUGCCAGCAGCCGCGGUAAUAC